AUAACACUGUUACAUGGGGCAUGCCAUUGAUAAUCAUACUCGACACUCGCUGUGUGACUCAUAAAACUAUGUCAUGUAACAGACUAUGCCCAGACUAUAAACGCACUAAGGCAAUGUUGCAUGAAUAACACGUGGAUACCUGCCAAACAGCUGCAGAGUUGUCACAGCGUCGUCUUCAGGCUGGCCCAUUCAUUAGUCGAGUUGCAACAGAUGCACAUCUUUAAGAGGAGAAAGAAGGAGGAAUAGAUCACCACAAUUACCAUUGACAUCAAGAGCAACACAAACUGAAACAGAUCUUCAGAUUUCUUUUAACAUCUGGUGUUCAAGCAAUACAUUGCCAAAGAAGAAACAGCAAGUCACUGAAGUGUUGUAUAUUCAGUUAUAAAACAUAUUAAAGUCCUACACAUCAUCCUUUGGACACUUGCUUGAACAGGAAAUGCUUGUCAUCAGCAAGGUGUUGUGGAACUUCUUGUGACAUCUUGGGACUCUCGGAUAAUUCAGUGAGAAUUUAGAUGAGUGACCAUGAAAAUAUUCCAGUUCAUACUGUUACAGUAUUUUUUCAGGUUUAGCAUCUGGGAAAUGCAAAGAAUGUUUGAUAUGUAAUGAGUAAUUUUUGCUUUGGAAUAAAAUUGUAGAAUAGUU